ACCCAGACCACCAGCUAAGGUCCCUAAUUAUAACUAAGUGGGAAAGGAGGUGGAGAUUCACAAACAACCAGGAGGUUGGCUUAGAAGCAGCCAUACAUUUAAAGAGUGCGUAAUAGCUCACUGGUCGAGAGUCUCUGCGCCGACAAUGUAACGGGGCUAAGUUAUAAACCGAAGCUGUGGAAUUGCGUAAGCAAUUGGUAGGAGAGCGUUCUGUAGGCCGUUGAAGGAGAAGCGUAAGCAACUCUGGAGGUAUCAGAAGUGAGAAUGCAGGAAUAAGUAGCGAGAAAGGGGGCGAGAAUCCCCCUCGCCGGAAGACCAAGGUUUUCAGGGUAAAGCUUGUCUUCCCUGAGUAAGCCGGGACCUAAGCCGAGGCUAAAAUGCGUAGGCGAAUGGAAAACAGAUUAAUAUUUCUGUGCCAGUUAUAUUUUGUGAUGGAGGGACGCAGAAGGGUAUGUGCGCGGGAGAACGGAAGUUCCCGUAAAAGCAUGUAGAGUGGUCUAGUAGGAAAAUCCGCUAGAUUAGACUUGAGGUGUGAUAUAUAGUCGUAAGAUGAAUGCACAAAUCCCACGCUGCCGAGAAAAGCUUCUAACGUUAAGGUAUAACUGCCCGUACCCGAAACCGACACAGGUGGUCAGGAUGAGAAAUCUAAGGCGGACAGGCUAACUCUCGUUAAGGAACUCUGCAAAAUUGCCCCGUAACUUUGGGAGAAGGGGUGCCCCUGGAUGUUAACAGCUACGCGUUGUAAAGCAUUUGGGGGUCGCAGUGAAGAGGCUCAAGCAACUGUUUAACAAAAACACAGGUCUAUGCUAAGCUGUAAGGCGAUGUAUAUGGGCUGACACCUGCCCAGUGCCGGAAGGUUAAGAGGAGGAGUGAGAGCUCCGAAUUGAAGCCCCGGUGAACGGCGGCCGUAACUAUAACGGUCCUAAGGUAGCGAAAUUCCUUGUCGGGUAAGUUCCGACCUGCACGAAUGGUGUAAUGAUUUGAGCGCUGUCUUGACGGGAGGCCUGGUGAAAUUGUACUACCGGUGAAGAUACCGGUUACCUACAGUAGGACGGAAAGACCCCAUGGAGCUUUACUGUAGCUUGGUAUUGGGUUUUGGCAUUGCAUGUAUAGGAUAGUUGGGAAACUAUGAAGAUAUGGCGCUAGCUGUAUUGGAGUUGUCGGUGGAAUACCAACCAUUCAAUGUCGAAAUUCUAAUCUGUGGUUUGUAGCCACGGAAACAGUGCUAGGUGGGCAGUUUGACUGGGGCGGUCGCCUCCGAAAGAGUAACGGAGGCGUUCAAAGGUUCUCUCAGGUUGGAUGGAAAUCAACCGCAGAGUGCAAUGGCAUAAGAGAGCUUAACUGCGAGACUGACGGGUCGAGCAGGUGCGAAAGCAGGACAUAGUGAUCCGGCGAUUCCGAAUGGAAGGGUCGUCGCUCAACGGAUAAAAGCUACCCUGGGGAUAACAGGCUGAUUUUGCCCGAGAGUCCAUAUCGACGGCAAAGUUUGGCACCUCGAUGUCGGCUCAUCGCAUCCUGGGGCUGGAGAAGGUCCCAAGGGUUGGGCUGUUCGCCCAUAAAAGCACCUUAGAGAUCGGAAGAGCG
rnacentral:rRNA from 1 species